UGUGAGAAAUGGCGGGCUGAGGGUUAGAGCUAGGGUUUGGGCUUCCCCUUCGGCGAGCGAGACGUCCAAUCAGAGGCUACAAGGAUGGUAGCUUCACAUCGACGGCUUCUCGCGCGUGAAGGCAAAGGAUGGGGCUUUUGUGACGUGUAGUUGGUCGAAGCAGCAAUGGCGCUAGUGUUCUGAGAUUCCUGGUCGCGGAGGCAGCCUUAUAGCCCGCGGUUACGUAUAGGUUUCUCGGUGCAAAAUUGGUCUCAUUAUAUUUUCGUGUAAAAUUGGUCUCAUUUCAAACGAAUUCAUACAAAUUUAAUUCGAGUUGCAAUUUUGAUUGACUUUGUUUAUACGGUCGUUGUGGUAGCCUAUGUGCCAUCAAACAUGCCUAGGGUUCACACACACUUGUAUAUCUCAAGAACACAUCAGUGUUAUUUAGUACAUGGUUGUGUAUUAUGUAACACGGAAAAUACAGGAGUGUAUUAAUUAACAUAACUGUGUUUCUGAGGUACUCUAUACCUAGUGUGUUGGAUCAUGAUUGUGUUAUGUUUCUGAGAUACAUGCCUGUGUUGAUGACAUGUAGGUUCCCGUAUCAGCAAAAUCUCUUAAAUUUAUAACAUAAUAUAGUUAAAUAGUUAAAUUUGCAUGAAUUCAUUUGAUAUCGGAUUAAUUUUGCAGAAAAUAUACAUAUAUAUUAUGGGAUUAUAUUUGCACUGACCAACCUUUACUUGAACUAAUAAUGCAUUUUCCCAUGUAAUUUUUAAAUUCUUUCGGGUAGCGAUUACAUAUGCUUGUAUUCUUCACAGUGGGCGCCCCCUGAGUAAAUUUAACAAGAAAAAUAUUAUGAAUUACUAAAUUAGAAUGUGAAAUGUUAAUUUGUUAUUGUGGUAUCACUAUAUUUUAUGCCUAGUUCUUGUGUAACUUUUCAUAAUUGUAAUAAAUGUUUUAAUUUGUGCGGAAUUUAACCUUAGUGUUAAGUUUGAAGGCCUUGUGAGUGAAAGAUGAGGCCUUUUGGCAUGCAAGACAAUAAUAUUUCGUGUUUGAGCAGCAGGCGUUGCAAUUAAGUACUGCAAGACACUGCUAGUUCUUCUGUUAGUUUUUAUAGCCAAUAUUUGGUUUCUUAAUUUCUGUCGUAUUUAUAAAUAGUUCUGAGCUUUGUUUUGAUCAUUUAUGCCUAGCCUAUGCCUAAUGAUUACUCGAAAAGAACGGAGAUUUGAAUGGUGCUUUUUGUUGAAGCCUGGUUAUCACUUUGGCUCCAAAAGCGUCAGUGUAAAUAACAAUUUCCACUGGAAAUGAAGGCAGGGUACAUUAUUGUAAAUCUAAGAAUAUUUACUAUUGAAGAAUUAGAGUUGUGCGAGCUCCUGUCAAACUGCUUGAAUGUAAUGCUCAAGCUUGAGUUCAAAAAGAUAUUCUAAAAUUUUUAGUCAAGUAAUUCAGCUUUGAUGAGACUCAAUUUACUUGUGUAUUUUUGGGGUCUUGGUUUCUGGUUUAUGUAAGAUGUGUUGUUUUGCAAGAGAAAAUAAUAUAUUUUUAUUGGUAAUCGUAAGAAUUGUUUAAUAAAGAAAUUGAAGAAAAUCACCAAGUAAAUAGAGGUUAACUGUGUCUUUCAUAUCAUAUUUAUAUAUAUAUAUAUACAUCGUAAAGAAGGUUUCAGCUUGUGCUUGAUGAGGGUUGGAAUCAAUUUUGAGAAUAUGGUUUUUUCUUCUGAAGUUUGGUUUUAGUUUUUUCUAUUAUGCAACCAACAAUUUCCUAUAUACAUUUUUUUUUUCUUACAGAAUAAUAUAUAUAUAUAUAUAUAAACUACUAUUCAAACCCCAAAAAACAAAAAAUACAAAAUGAAACUCUAGAAGAAUAUUAAAUACAUAUAUAUAAAUAUAUACGUGUGUGUGUGUGUGCGCACGGCUACUAUCUCCUGUAUGGUAGCUGAAACUUGGUAGCAUAUAUUAGCAGUAUGUCCACUUACCAACCAAUAAAGCAAGAACUACAGAUGAUGAGAAUGAGCCAGUUUUUAUUGAAUCAAUUGUUAAUCAACAAUAACAGUGACAGUUUCCGAGUUUCUGAACUUCUGCUGUUGGAUUUUCCAGCUCAGUCUUCGUGCAGCUGAAGCUCAAGAAACAUCUCUUCUCUUGUUUCUCCGAAAUACAUUGCUUGCUAUAUGGUAGGUAGGUAGAUCCACGCAAAAAUCUGGACAAAUUUCAGCUAAUAAUUCAGCUUUGCUUGGCUGUCUCAUGACAACCUAAUCUUGCUUGCAUCUCCAAGGUGCUACAAAUCCUAUCAUUAGACGGGCUUAAAUGUUCGAGCUAUACGUAAGCCAUGUGUUGUUUCGCGAACUUUCUUGUUCCUCUGAGUCAUCAUUUACCAUUGGAAGUUCUUAUUUUGUUCGGUAUUUUUGUAUCCAUUUCAGAAGUGCUUUGAUGGAUAGGUAAUUUGUCCGGACUUUGUUGAAAAUGAUUUACUACUAAUUUAUAUCUAUGAAAUUUUCAUAAUUA